rnacentral:lncRNA from 1 species
GUAACAGGACAAGAGGCAACGGGCGGAAACUGAACCACAGGAAGUUCCAUCUGAACCUGAGAAAAAACUUCUUUCCUGUGAGGGAGACAGAGCACUGGACCAGGUUGCCCAGAGGGGUAGUGGAGUCUCCUUCGCUGGAGAUAUUCAAAACCCACCUGGACACGAUCCUGGGCAAUGUGCUCUAGAGGACCCUGCUUGAGCAGGGGGGUUGGACUAGAUAAUUUCCAGAGGUCCCUUCCAACCGUUGGCCGUUCUUUGAUUCUGUGAUUUUUCAGCAGAAAUUUUGCUCCAGCUGUGAUGUCUCUAUGUUUCUCUUUCUGCCUUACACAGGUGAUUGAAACAGGCCUGGGAUGUGCUACUGUUCUGGUGUUUGACAUAGCAUGAAUGAGGGAGAUUUCAGAUGUUUCACUGCACCUUUUAAUAUAAAUUGUCAAAAAUUGUCCUAGCAUCAGAAAAACACACAUAUCCUUCACAAUAAAUCUUUAUGGCACAUCCCACGGCUUCUGAGUUUUGCUGUACUCUUUCUAACAUUUCUGUUCCUGAAAGGUCCCACUGGCCUUGGCCAGUGUAGUAUUGUUGUAUUUCUAAAUGUAGUGUUUCAAAUGUAGUAUUGUAGUAUUUCUAAAGUUGCCAUUUAGCAAGUGGCUGAGGAGGCUGUCCCACCGCUGCCUCUGGUUGUGGGUGCUCAGUGUGCCUGGGUCCUCCUGCAGCAGUAAAAGUCCCUUCAGCUCUUUAUUUCCUUUCCCAUUUCAGGCCCUCCCAAUUAAAUGUUGACAUUAUUACUGCUGGCUGAAGAGCAGUAUAUCUCACUGUAUUCCUUUUCACACCACACACCUGGCACAGUAUUAAAGAAUAUGGCUGGAACAGUGUAAGGCAGACUUCACCGGCAGUCAGGCCAGUUGUUCUUCAGCCAGGAGCAGUUCUUGCUCCAACCCUGGGCCAUCUUGGUGGAGACAGGCUGGUGAAAUGUGUUUUGUGCUCUUCAGAACCUGACCUUUCUCUUCAAACAAUGGAUGAGAGCUUCAGAGCAGCGCUCAGCCAGGAAGAUCCGAGAUUCAUCCUGACCAGAUGCAGCAUCUAGAUCUGAGCUCCCUUUGUGGCCAGUGGGACAAAACCGGCACCUACAGGUACAGCACAUCUCAUCCUACAGUAGGUUUCUAAGGUAGGAUUUCAACAGUAUCUCAGCUCCUUGCCUUGGGUAAAAAAAGUGCUUUCUCCUUAGCAGCAGGUGACUUCCUGUGACUCAAUGAUGUCUUCCCCAGAGUCUGCUCUCGCUGCCAAGCUGAAGGAUUGGUUUAUUAAAAGUAAUGAACUAAGGUGCCUGGUUUAAGAGUGAGAGAAUUCACAUGCUUUCCUCUGGGUGCAG